UACGGGGGGGGCAAGCGUUGUUCGGAAUUACUGGGCGUAAAGGGUUCGUAGGUGGCCAACUAAGUCAGACGUGAAAUCCCUCAGCUUAACUGGGGAACUGCGUCUGAUACUGGCGAGCUUGAGUGCAGGAGAGGAACGCGGAAUUCCAGGUGUAGCGGUGAAAUGCGUAGAUAUCUGGAGGAACACCGGUGGCGAAGGCGGCGUUCUGGACUGCAACUGACACUGAGAAACGAAAGCCAGGGUAGCAAACGGG
rnacentral:rRNA from 1 species